CUGGGGACAGUGCAGGUGGAAGGGCAGGAGGAGAUGCACCCCUGGCUGCUCCCCCUGACCUGGAGGAAGGAGAAAGAGGGACCCCUCCACACCUUGCCCCCAUACCUGCAAGAGGGGGAGUGAAGAGCCCCAGACCCACAGGAACACAGGUUGGCAGAGCUUUAAACUAGCUUUGUUGGAGGACAAGGAUGUCGAAGAUAGGGUGAAACCAGGAAGGACAAGCCACGACCUGACUGCUGGAAUAGACCAGGAAGCAACGGUGAGCACCUGAAACCUGAGAUCCUGCGCCUGCCUUUGUU